GCUUAUCACCAUUCCAGAUUAAAUAUACCCGAUCUGGUCUGAUCUGGAAAUUCAAGCAAUCUGGGGCUUGGUUAGUACUUGGAUGGGUGAGGAAUC
rnacentral:rRNA from 1 species